UCCCGCCCCGCCAUGCAAAUCAGCCAGGCGGCGACGGCCAAUGGGGAGGCGAGCUCCGCUGUUGUAUUUAUAGACGCUAUUUAAAGAGCCCCUGGGAGUCUCCGCGCGGCGCUGGGCGGCGGCGGCGACUGGGAGGGCGCGCGGGAGGCUGGGCACGUGCGCUGGGGGGGGGUAGGGGGCGCGCGGGCCCUGGCGGACCGUUGGUGCGCGCGCCCAACCGCCGCCACGGCCACGCGCAGAUCGCGCGGAGCGGGAGGGCAGCGCAGCAGUGGAGGUGGAGGUGGUCUGGGGAAUGCCGUCCUCAGGAAAAACUCCAGAAUGUGCCUGUAGCAAGGCAACUUGCCUGCUGUGGACUGGGCGGAGAGAUGAGGGAUGGGGGCAGGAACUGCUCCGAAUGCUUGGCACACCCCCCACCUAAAGUAGCUACAGUGGCCACGUUGAUGGUCUCUUUCUUCCAAAGCAGUUCUACAGAAAUCAGAAACUGGUGGACCUAUUCCGUCAAAAAAUUUCCACUGAAUCUCUGUCACAUGGUGUCAACACUAUUUCACUCAUCAAGGCUGUCUUUUGCUGCGUCAUUGGUGAUCUGGUGUUCAGUUUUUCAUGUGUUUCAGUUUUAAAUGGAAACGGUAGCAAAUGGAAGGUAUGGCCUAUCUUUUGUUGUUGUCUUUUUAAAAGAAUAAUUUGGACAUGAUAAGGGAGAGAACAUUGCCGAAAAGUUCUCUCACGGGGACUUCAAAGUCUUUCUAGCACCUGGUGGCAUUCUUUAACAUUUUUUAUUUCGGGGUAGACACUGGGAAAAUGCCUUCGGAGACUUUGUUACACUUCUGACCACUAGAAAGAGACUGGAUGUUUGACUCCAGGGUGGGAAUGAGGAACAAAGAGAACAGUUCACCCUUCCGCAACACUGUUACCCCCUAAUGUCUUUGGAACUGUUUAAAGGGGAUGUCACAUAGUGGAAAUAGUUUUCUUUGGAGUCCUGUGCUGUGAGAGAGAACUAAAGCAGUCCUUGGCUGCUCACCAUUCUUUUGCAUUGCUCCCAGCAUUGGUAUGUGCCGAACAUGGAGCAGAUGAACAGGGCAGAAGUUACAUGGAGAGUGUUUGCCUACUCCUUGAGAUAUAAUCCUCCGGCUUUUCUAAUUUAUGCUGAACUCUGGGCUGGCCCUGUGAAGAGACAAACAUCAGAGGACACUAUGGUGGUCUAGAGUAAGAGAGGUGCCUUGAUGUAGAGUCUGAUAUGAGCCUGAAACGAAGCAUGUAAAAUCCUUUCAGCACUUUGAGCUUAAUGUGAAGGUAUUAAGGGUGAAACUGAUGGCAUUAAAAUGCUUUCUGCUUUCUUAGUUACAGAGCAAGCUAUUUGCAGCAAAGAUUAUAGACCAUGGAAAAUUGAUUUGGGAACACUGAUGUUGAAUCACACUGCAGUACUCAACUGAAAUAAUCAUAGGAUCAUUAGAACUGGGUACUGCAUGUGUUUCCAGUGCCACACAGCACACAAAGACACUCUGCGUACCCAAAGAGAAUUGUCAGGAUACAUGGUAGAGCUAUGCAGAACCAAUUUGUGGCUGCAAAAAAAUAUUUUUGACAGCAUAUAUUAUGUAAUUUGGAAGAACUGAUGAACUCUCCUUUUUAUGAUGGCGCAAAAAGUGGCUUUUAUAAGGAAAGCUGUGCUAGAAAGAAGUAGGAGGUUUAUUCCCACCUACCUACACAGAAACUGUUGUUCUCCUGUAACUAUAAUGGAUUUAUUUUUAAUUGCAGACCAGAAUAAAGACUUAGUACCUUCACA
rnacentral:lncRNA from 1 species